rnacentral:lncRNA from 1 species
AUGACACAAGGAGUCAUCCUUGUGCACAAGGAGUGGCUUUGUGCCCUCCAGGGGUUGAAGCGCUCACAGUGCUAGAGGACACCAGGAGAGGGCAGCAGAGAGCUGGAGAGACCUUUGGUAGAGGCCCCAGGAAGCAGGCUGAGAGCAAGAACCAGAAGCAGGAGAAAGAAUCCAUGUAGAUUUCCCAACUUGGAUCCUCUAUUUGCGGCAAAGUAUAAAGUGAGAGGAAACUUUAAGAAGGUCUCUUUUCCAAACAAAAUUAACUUCCAUCCCAUGUCAUUCAUCCUGUCCAAUUGCCCAUUCUCAGAACUAAUAUUACUAUGAGGUAAAUAUCCAAAUUUAGAUUUUUAUUAUUUUUUAGAUCUUUAUUAUUAGUAUUCUAUUUCAUUUUCCAUUUCUAGCCAAAGGUUAU